rnacentral:rRNA from 1 species
UAGGGAAUCUUCCACAAUGGGCGCAAGCCUGAUGGAGCAACACCGCGUGAGUGAAGAAGGGUUUCGGCUCGUAAAGCUCUGUUGUUAAAGAAGAACACGUAUGAGAGUAACUGUUCAUACGUUGACGGUAUUUAACCAGAAAGUCACGGCUAACUACGUGCAAG